rnacentral:rRNA from 1 species
CGAACGGGUGAGUAACGCGUGAGGAACCUGCCUCAAAGAGGGGGACAACAGUUGGAAACGACUGCUAAUACCGCAUAAGCCCACGGGUCGGCAUCGACCUGAGGGAAAAGGAGCAAUCCGCUUUGAGAUGGCCUCGCGUCCGAUUAGCUAGUUGGUGAGGUAACGGCCCACCAAGGCGACGAUCGGUAGCCGGACUGAGAGGUUGAGCGGCCACAUUGGGACUGAGACACGGCCCAG